rnacentral:rRNA from 1 species
GACGAACGCUGGCGGCGUGCUUAACACAUGCAAGUCGAACGGUGAAGCGCCUUCCUUUUUGGUGGGUGUGGAUGAGUGGCGAACGGGUGAGUAACACGUGAGUAACCUGCCCCCUUCUUCUGGAUAACCGCAUGAAAGUGUGGCUAAUACGGGAUAUUCUGGGUCUGUCGCAUGAUGGGUCUGGGAAAGAUAUUGUUUCGGUGGGGGAUGGGCUCGCGGCCUAUCAGCUUGUUGGUGGGGUGAUGGCCUACCAAGGCGGUGACGGGUAGCCGGCCUGAGAGGGUGGACGGUCACACUGGGACUGAGACACCGCCGAGACUCCUACGGGAGGCAGCAGUGGGGAAUAUUGCACAAUGGGCGAAAGCCUGAUGCAGCGACGCCGCGUGAGGGAUGGAGGCCUUCGGGUUGUGAACCUCUUUCGGCAGUGAAGCAGGCCUGCCUCGUUUGUGGGUGGGUUGACGGUAGCUGGAUAAGAAGCGCCGGCUAACUACGUG